UACGAAGGGGGCUAGCGUUGUUCGGAAUUACUGGGCGUAAAGCGCGCGUAGGCGGUCUUCUAAGUCAGUGGUGAAAGCCCGGAGCUCAACUCCGGAACUGCCAUUGAAACUGUUGGACUUGAGUACGAGAGAGGUGAGUGGAAUUCCCAGUGUAGAGGUGAAAUUCGUAGAUAUUGGGAAGAACACCGGUGGCGAAGGCGGCUCACUGGCUCGUAACUGACGCUCAGGCGCGACAGCGUGGGGAUCAAACAGG
rnacentral:rRNA from 1 species